rnacentral:rRNA from 1 species
AGGACUAACGCUGGCGGCGUGCCUAACACAUGCAAGUCGAACGGGGUAGCAAUACCCAGUGGCAGACGGGUGAGUAACACGUGGUCAACCUACCUCUGUGUGGGGGAUAACUAGCCGAAAGGUUAGCUAAUACCUCAUACGAUCGUUUUGAGGCAUCUCGAGACGAUGAAAGGAGCAAUCCGCACGGAGAGGGGACUGCGUCCCAUUAGUUAGUUGGUGGGGUAACGGCCUACCAAGACUCCGAUGGGUAGCUGGCUUGAGAGAGCGACCAGCCACACUGGAACUGAGAAACGGUCCAGACUCCUACGGGAGGCAGCAGUGAGGAAUUUUCCGCAAUGGGCGAAAGCCUGACGGAGCGACGCCGCGUGUGGGAUGAAGGCCUUCGGGUCGUAAACCACUGUCGAAGGGGACGAUAAUGACGGUACCCUUGGAGGAAGCCCCGGCUAACUACGCGCCAGCAGCCGC